CCCACUGUUCGCGCUACCAUGCAGUCGGAGGUAGCACAGAGGAGCUUGUUCCUCGUGUGACGAGUGGCGCACGGGUGAGAAGUGUGUGGAGAUCUGCCAUAUAGAGGGGGAUAACCUGUGGAAACGGUGGCUAAUACCGCAUAACCUCACGAGACCAAAGAGGGGGAUCUUCGGGCCUCUCUCUAUCAGAAGAACCCAUAUGGUAUUAUCUAGUGCGGGGGGUAGCGGCCCCCCUACGACAAUACCCCUAUGUGGUCAGAGAAGAAGACCAGCCACUGUGGAUCUGACACACGGUCCACACCCCCACGGGGGGCAACUGUGGGGAAUAUUGCACAGUGGGCGCGCGCGUGAUGCACCCGUGCCGCGUGUAUGAAAAGGGUCUUCGGUUUGUAAAGUAUUUUCCGCGGAGAAGAGGGCUGUGGGGUUAAUACUUUUAGUGAUUGACUUUACCCGCAAAAAAAGCCCCGGAAAUCUCCGUGCCAACCCCCGCGGUAAUACAGAGGGUGCACGCUUUACUCAAAUUUAGUGGGCGUAACGCGCACGCGCGCUCUGUGUUGACUCAUAUGUGAACUCCCCGGUCAUAAUGUGAAAACUGCUUUUGACAGUGACGCGCUUGACUCUCAUAGAGGGGGAGAAAUUUCGGUGUGUAGCGGAGAAGUGCAUAGAUAUCUAGAAGAAUACCUGUCGAGAACGCGGCCCUGUGGAAAACACUGACUCUCGUGUGCGAGCGCGUGGAGAGCACAGGAGAAUAUACACUGUGAUACUACACGCCAUACACUAUGUCCACGUGGAUGGUGCUCUUGUGGAGAGUGUCUUCCAGAUCUCACGCGAAACUCCACCGUGUGGAGAGUAGGGCGCGGGAAAAACUCAUGUGAAUUGACGGGGCGCGCGCACGCGCUGUAGAUAUGUGU
rnacentral:rRNA from 1 species